ensembl:lncRNA CASC9 cancer susceptibility 9
GAUUUUCCAGGUGCCGUCUGUCACCCCUUUCUUUGACUCGGAAAGGGAACUCCCUGACCCCUUGCACUUCCCAAGUGAGGCAAUGCCUCGCCCUGCUUCGGCUCGCGCAUGGUGCGCGCACCCACUGACCUGCGCCCACUGUCUGGCACUCCCUAGUGAGAUGAAGCCGGUACCUCAGAUGGAAAUGCGGAAAUCACCGUCUUCUGUGUCGCUCAGGCUGGGAGCUGUAGACCGGAGCUGUUCCUAUUCGGCCAUCUUGGCUCCUCUCCCUCUUUAAAGUGAAUGUGAUUUUGAAGAAAGGAGGAAAGAUGUGAAAAGUGAUUGGUCAGCCACAUUCAUGGUGUUGAGAAAAGAAUUUGCUUUUCUGGAACAUAGCCUGUGAUAGCAGAACAACACCUGGCAAGAAACAGGUUAUGUUUGGCUGGAGAGUCAUUGGCACUAUCAAGAAAUAUUAAAGUGUAGAUUUGAGAGAGGAGGAGAAAGACCCAAGCAAAAUUGAAAACCAGGUGGGACCCAGACAGCAGCAAAGCAAUGGAAGCAUGUAUUUUGGUCAAUAUAGAGUUAAUACACAAUUUUGCCCCUCUUCUUCUGAUCAUGGGACUCAUAUUACCAGUCUUCACAUUUCCUUUAAAUUCAGGAAUCAGGAAGAAUUUCCAGAGUUUGCAGAUGGACACAUUUGCUGCUUCCAUUCUAAACAUAAGUUAGAAGAACCUUUCAACUGGAUUCCAACUUUAAUAUGUCACAAACAUAAAAAAGAAAGCUAUUUCCUGGACUUUUCUUCAUUAGAAAUUAAUAGAUUGUCAAUUGGCAUAGGGAAAAGAUAAUCAACAGAUGCCAACCCCAAGUUAACAGAAAUGCUAAAAUUAUAAGACAAAGACUUCAAAAUAGCUAUUUUAAUUUUGCCUAGUGAGGUAAAUGCAAACAUGCUCACUAUGAAUGAAAACAGGUAAUCUCAGCAGUCAUGUAAACUAUAAAAAUAAGCAAAUAUAAAUUUUAGAAUUAAAACACAAUAUCUAAAAAUAAAUUCACCUGAUAUUCUCAAUAGAAAAAAUGGUAAUGCAGAGAAAAAUGUAUGAAAAUAUGGCAAUUUGAAGAAGAGAGAAGAGAUCAAUAAAAUAAAUAAGUAUAUCCUUGGAGACCUGUGGAUGUUUUUUGAAAAGUGAAUCAUGUAAGUAAUUGAAGUCCCAGAAGAAAAGAAAAGAAGAGGAUGAGCAGAAAAAAAUUUCUGAAAAAAUAUCUGAAAGCUUAAACACUAUAAUGAAAGACACACAUUUACAAACUCAAGAAGUUUAGUAAACCAAAAACAAUAAAAUCAAAGAGAACUGUGCCAAGCGACAUCAUUUUCAACCUGCUGAAGAUCUUGACAGCAGUCAGAGAAAAAAGACACACUUAUUACACAGAGAGGAACAAUACAUUAAAUACUAGCACACUUCUCAUCAGAGAUCAUUAAGCCCAGAAGACAGUGGAAUGAGAUCUUUAAAGUGCUGAAAUAAAAUAAAUGUUGAUUAAAAAA